UCCUCUUAAUUAAUCAUUUGAAUACAAAUAAUAUAAUAAAGUGAAAUGUUGAGAUUGGUUAAUAUUUGAUGACAAAGAUAGCUAAUUUUAACCAUUGAUUAUUUUGAUCCAAUGGAUCUAAUUCACUCCCCUCCUUGUCCUAUCAUUUUCUUUUGGUCUUCCUCUCACCUCCAGACUCUCACGUUUCUCUCUUCUCAUCUCUUCUGAGAUUUCAUUUCAUCUUUCUACUCUUCUUCUUUCUUCACCAUAGCAAUCCUUAUUCUACAAACACAAACCAUCAUCACAGUCACCUCGUCUACCACUACUUCUACCUCACCCACCAUCACCUCCGCCCGACGCCACCAUCACAUCCGCCGCCUCCUCCUCCUUGUUCCCCACCUUCGCGGACCACAAUCGCAUCCUCCUCCUCCUCCUCGUUACUCAACCACAAGCGACCAUCUUCUCCACUACCACCACUGCUUCUGCCUCAAUCAAAAGCGAUUCUUCCUCUACCCCCAUUACUCUCUUUUAUCUCCUAAUCUCAAAGAUUUUUGUUUCACAUUUUUUUUUCCAGAUCUAGAUUCGUGAAUGGAGAUGUGAGACUGGAGAUGACGAACAGAGGUCUCAAAAAAACGUAAAGAAGUAUUCACAAGAUUGAGGAAGGAUGAGAAGACAAACGAAGGUUGAGGAAGGCUAAUUAGGCAGACGAAGCUUGAGUAAGGUGGAGAGUCAAAAGAUGGUUGACGGGAAGUGGGAGGAGGCACGGAAGCUGCAGUGGAGGAGACACUGACGCCGGAAGCAGAGACGACAACGUCUCCGGUCAAGGUUGGAAGAGGCGCAAGGCUCAUGAAGGAGGCGGCUCGACUUUUUUUUUAGGUUUAGAUUUCUUUUAGAUUUGGUUUAGUGUAAACCAGUAAGGAACAUUGUGUGCUUUGAUUUUAUUUUUUAAUUUCUGGUUUAGUAUUGUAAACCGAAAUGUAUUUGUAAACCAAU
rnacentral:lncRNA from 1 species